AAAUGCGACUUCUGGGCUUACAG
rnacentral:miRNA from 1 species